rnacentral:rRNA from 1 species
GACGAACGCUGGCGGCGUGCUUAACACAUGCCAGUCGAACGGUAAGGCCCCUUCGGGGGUACACGAGUGGCGAACGGGUGAGUAACACGCGAGCAACCUGCCCUUGACUCUGGAAUAACAGUUGGAAACAGCUGCUAAUACUGGAUAUUCAUCGUCUCCUUCCUGGGGGGUGGUGGAAAGCUCCGGCGGUCAGGGAUGGGCUCGCGGCCUAUCAGCUUGUUGGUGAGGUAAUGGCUCACCAAGGCUUCGACGGGUAGCCGGCCUGAGAGGGCGACCGGCCACACUGGGACUGAGAUACGGCCCAGACUCCUACGGGAGGCAGCAGUGGGGAAUAUUGCACAAUGGGCGCAAGCCUGAUGCAGCAACGCCGCGUGCGGGAUGACGGCCUUCGGGUUGUAAACCGCUUUCAGUAGGGACGAAGGGUGACUGACGGUACCUACAGAAGAAGGACCGGCUAACUACGUG